GGAAUUGUAGCGUAUAGGUGUAACUAUCCAUAUGCAUUCGUACACCCAAAGUCCCCUUGAGCGGGGCCACAGUCCAUAGAAGGUGCUAGACCUGUACGGGUGAGGAAAGUUAUGGUAGGUUGCACUUUGGAGUCGGGUUGUUUGAGAUUGCAGCCCAAAGAGGGUGGUAAACCUCAUCUAAGGCUAAAUACGACCACGAGACCGAUAGCAAACAAGUACCGUGAGGGAAAGUUGCAAAGAACUUUGAAGAGAGAGUUCAAGAGGGCGUGAAACCGCUGAGAUGGAAACGGAUAGAGUUAACGAAACUUAUCAGUAUUCA
rnacentral:rRNA from 1 species